AGUGUUGCAAUGAAGAGAAGAGUACACGAUAGGAAUUGGCACAGAGAGUUCCCAUUUGGUGAAAGGGAAUGCAAGGGUCAUCGUGGAAGAUGGACUCCGAGCAGAUUGGUCGAACAGUUAGGCCAUCCGGGCGUGCCCGUUACAGCACUAUGGUAUUGAAGGCUCAUCUGCCUGCGUACCUGAAGAGGCUCAUCUUGUGAAGGAUGGGUGAAAUUGGGUGGUAUCACGGUGCUUCCGUCCCUUAC
rnacentral:ncRNA from 1 species